rnacentral:rRNA from 1 species
ACCUGACUGCUAUCGGAUUGGUACUAAGCCAUGUGAGUCAUUGUAGCAAUACAAGGCAUACGGCUCAGUAACACGUAGUCAAUCUGCCCUAUGGACGUGGAUAACCUCGGGAAACUGAGAAUAAUCCGCGAUAGAUCAUAAUGCCUGGAACGGUUUAUGGUCCAAAUGAUUCGUCGCCAUAGGAUGGGACUGCGGCCUAUCAGCUUGUUGGUGAGGUAAUGGCCCACCAAGGCUAUUACAGGUACGGGCUCUGAGAGGAGAAGCCCGGAGAUGGGUACUGAGACACGGACCCAGGCCCUAUGGGGCGCAGCAGGCGAGAAACCUUUGCAAUGUGCGCAAGCACGACAAGGUUAAUCCGAGUGUUUCCUGCUAAAGGAAUCUUUUGUUAGUUCUAAAACCACUGAUGAAUAAGGGGUGGGCAAGUUCUGGUGUCAGCCGCCGCGGUAAAACCAGCACCUCAAGUGGUCAGGAGGAUUAUUGGGCCUAAAGCAUCCGUAGCCGGUUCUGUAAGUUUCCGGUUAAAUCCACUAGCUCAACUAAUGGGCUGCCGGAAAUACUGCAGAACUAGGGAGUGGGAGAGGUAGACGGUACUCGGGAGGAAGGGGUAAAAUCCUUUGAUCUCUUGAUGACCACCUGUGGCGAAGGCGGUCUACCAGAACACGUUCGACGGUGAGGGAUGAAAGCCGGGGGAGCAAACCGGAUUAGAUACCCGGGUAGUCCCAGCUGUAAACGAUGCAGACUCGGUGAUGCACUGGCUUUUGGCCAGUGCAGUGCCGCAGGGAAGCCGUUAAGUUUGCCGCCUGGGAAGUACGUACGCAAGUAUGAAACUUAAAGGAAUUGGCGGGGGAGCGCCACAAGGGGUGAAGCCUGCGGUUCANUUGGAUUCACGCCNGAAA